GAUGCCGUGGCCGAGUGGUCUAAGGCGCCAGAUUAAGGCUCUGGUCCGAAAGGGCGCAGGUUCAAAUCCUGUCGGCAUCACC
rnacentral:tRNA from 1 species